GAUUGAACGCUAGCGGGAUGCUUUACACAUGCAAGUCGAACGGCAGCGCGGACUUCGGUCUGGCGGCGAGUGGCGAACGGGUGAGUAAUAUAUCGGAACGUGCCCAGUAGCGGGGGAUAACUACGCGAAAGCGUGGCUAAUACCGCAUACGCCCUACGGGGGAAAGGGGGGGAUUCUUCGGAACCUCUCACUAUUGGAGCGGCCGAUAUCAGAUUAGCUAGUUGGUGAGGUAAAGGCUCACCAAGGCGACGAUCUGUAGCUGGUUUGAGAGGACGACCAGCCACACUGGGACUGAGACACGGCCCAGACUCCUACGGGAGCAGCAGUGGGGAUUUUGGACAAGUCGGGGGAAACCCUGAUCCAGCCACUCCCGCGU
rnacentral:rRNA from 1 species